GCUUUACUCGGGUGCAGCGGAAAUCCUUUUUGAGGUUUUUCACCUAAAAAAGAUUGCAGCGUAUAGCCGGAACAGCU
rnacentral:sRNA from 1 species